rnacentral:rRNA from 1 species
GAUGAACGCUGGCGGCGUGCUUAACACAUGCAAGUCGAACGGAAAGGCCAGUGCUUGCCCUGGUACUCGAGUGGCGAACGGGUGAGUAACACGUGGGUGAUCUGCCCUGCACUUCGGGAUAAGCCUGGGAAACUGGGUCUAAUACCGGAUAGGACAAUGGUUUGGAUGCCGUUGUGGAAAGUUUUUUCGGUGUGGGAUGAGCUCGCGGCCUAUCAGCUUGUUGGUGGGGUAAUGGCCUACCAAGGCGUCGACGGGUAGCCGGCCUGAGAGGGUGUACGGCCACAUUGGGACUGAGAUACGGCCCAGACUCCUACGGGAGGCAGCAGUGGGGAAUAUUGCACAAUGGGCGCAAGCCUGAUGCAGCGACGCCGCGUGGGGGAUGACGGCCUUCGGGUUGUAAACUCCUGUCGCUAGGGACGAAGCGUAUUUGUGACGGUACCUGGAGAAGAAGCACCGGCUAACUACGUG